CGCAGCCGCGGUAAUUCCAGCUCCAAUAGCGUAUAUUAAAGUUGUUGCAGUUAAAAAGCUCGUAGUUGAAUUUCGGGAUCAAUAUGUUGGUCGUGCCUUGGUACGUACUGGCAUUAUCGAUUCCUACCUUCUGAAGAACCUCGAUGUCAUUAAUUUGGUGUCUUGGGGAAUCAGGACUGUUACUUUGAAAAAAUUAGAGUGUUUAAAGCAGGCUCGCGCUUGAAUACAUUAGCAUGGAAUAAUGAAAUAGGGCGUUUGAUUCUAUUUUGUUGGUUUCUAGGAUCGACGUAAUGAUUAAUAGGGAUAGUUGGGGGCAUUAGUAUUCAAUUGUCAGAGGUGAAAUUCUUGGAUUUAUUGAAGACUAACUACUGCGAAAGCAUUUGCCAAGGAUGUUUUCAUUAAUCAAGAACGAAAGUUAGGGGAUCGAAGACGAUCAGAUACCGUCGUAGUCUUAACCAUAAACUAUGCCGACUAGGGAUCGGAUGAUGUUAAUUUUUUAAUGA
rnacentral:rRNA from 1 species